AGGAGGAGGUCUACAGACUGCGGCCUCUGUGGAAGAAGGUGGCGCCAGUCGCACAAACCUUGCUGAUAAGGUAUGGCUGCUGAAGGACGCAGAAGAGGAAGAGAUAGGGAACCACUUUCAUCGUGGAUGGAUAGAGUGAGGGAAGGGUUUUAGGGGAAGACACACCAAGCACAACCGGCAGGGACCGUACUGGAGCCCAGGCACUGUGCAGAUGCUGAAGUCUGAAAGCUGAGUCUGGGAGGGCAGAGAGACGGCUGAGCUGACAUUGUUCCAGACAAGGAAGGUGACCCUGGCGGAGGCCCGUGUAGGGCAGAAACCUUCAGAGAUACUGCCUAUGACCAGCCCAGGUUGACAGAUGGGGAACCCAGCCACGAUCCUCCCUGGGAAGGUAUAAUAAUUAAAAACUGGCAGGUCACAUGGUCACUGAAACAGAAGAAAGGAGUCAGUCCUAGCCCGGCAGGGUUGCCUGUGUGUGGUCUUACAGUGACAAGUGUCUCUGUAUCUCUGCCUGCUCAGGGACCCUGCAGGCUCACAGGAGGUCCCUGGGAGUGGGAAGAGAAGACAGUGCUCUAAACACACAUCUCAGCUGGGUACCUACCCUUCAGAACCUCUGACCAGCCAAGCUAUGCAUUCUGGUCCUCCCUCCAAGGACCUACCAGUCCUCUAACCCCACUUUGUCACUAGGUCCUGCCUGUUCCCCGGCCGCCA
rnacentral:lncRNA from 1 species